rnacentral:snRNA from 1 species
AUACUUACCUGGCGGGGGAGAAAACCACCACAAAGGUGGUUUUCUCAGGGCGAGGCUUAUCUAUUGCACUCCAGAUGUGCUGACUCCUGCGAUUUCCCAAAAUGUGGCAAACUCAACUGCAUAAUUUGUGGUAGUGGGCGACUGC